CUAGCAAUGCAUUUUCUGCUGAUAUUGGGAUUUUUUGGUCUUGCUUUCCUCGGCCUGGGUCCUGUUAGAAGUGUGCCGGAGGACUUCUAUAUAGAGGAAUUGCUGCGUGCAAUGAACACUGAAAAUGACUCUAGUUCAGUAAGAGAGGAGUCUGAUUACUUUGAAAGCCCCUUGGAUACGUCAGAAAUGGAUUACUAUGGUUAAAGUACACUAUUUUUAUUAUACCAUGGAAAUAUUAGAAAAGAAGUGUAAAAUUUUUUAUCCAUCUAGAUUCUAGAUAAUGGAUUGUCAGCAUAAAGUAUAUGGUUAUGGCUAAGGAUUUUGUGAUUUUAAGUACAUUCUAAUGUAUUGAAAAGAAUGUGAUGCUAAUGAACUUAAAUGUUCUCUUGAAUUGAGGGCCAAGCGACUAUCUAACAAAAACGAGGAAGGGCGUGUGAGACGCUUCUUACGCGUCACAACUUUUAGACCCGGUAUUUAGUAGUACAUCUGCCGUUUAGUCGUUUUUUUUAAAUUUUUAAGUUUUAAAUUUAUGUAUAUCAACUACAUCUAUGUACAUCACUUCUCAUGCCAAAACGCUCUUUUAGUUCUAAUGUGAAAAAAAGAGCUGCUGGACGGGGUGGGUUUGGUCACUGCAGAUUAGUUUCUAUAUUCCGGCUAUAAUAAUGAUCCAAUAUAAUCCCAAUUCGAUAAUCGAAAAUGGUUCUUUCCUAUAUCCCUGGCUAUAUCGACUCGGCUAUUGAUGCUGAUCAAGAAUAUAUGUACUAUAUGGGGUCGGAAACGUUUCCUUCUGUGUGUUACAUACGUAAAUCAACUUUUAUGCACAAAUACAAUAUAACCUAGUUACUCUUCUAGUACCGGGUCUAUUCUGAUCAAUAAAGCCUGAAUACAGGCUCUCGUAUCUCCUUCUUAAAAAACUUUUGCGAAAUGAAGUUUAUAUUUUCAAAUUCUCUCAGACAAUAGAACAGUUGGAAACACCAAACAACAAAAGACAUAGCCGUUAAUGACAACCAUUCAGAAAAAUCUGUUUCGAACCCCCUCGCUGCGGACUCGCUUCGAUCCAACUACGCAAAUAUAAAAAUGAAACUACGCAAACGCGGC
rnacentral:lncRNA from 1 species